rnacentral:rRNA from 1 species
UACGGAGGGGGUUAGCGUUGUUCGGAAUGACUGGGCGUAAAGCGCGCGUAGGCGGAUCAUGCAAGUCGGGGGUGAAAUCCCGGGGCUCAACCCCGGAAUGGCCUUCGAGACUGCUGGUCUUGAGUUCGAGAGAGGUGAGUGGAAUUCCGAGUGUAGAGGUGAAAUUCGUAGAUAUUCGGAGGAACACCAGUGGCGAAGGCGGCUCACUGGCGCGACACUGACGCUGAGGUGCGAAAGCGUGGGGAGCAAACAGG